GCUGGGUGUGGUGGCUCACGUCUGUAAUCCCAGCACUUUGGGAGGCUGAGGUGGGUGGAUCACCUGAGGUCAGGAGUUCAAGACCAGCCUGGCCAACAUGGUGAAACCCCAUCUCUA
rnacentral:sRNA from 1 species